GUCAUGCUGCACUACUACGCCGUCACCGGUGGCUUUUUGUCGGACGACUCAAAACCGGACCAAUUAAGGGGCGGCGGCGGUGGCCGUCACGCGUGGGAUUUGGCGUAGGCAAACUAAGACGGUAAAAAAACAAAUCGAAACGAAACUGAAAUCGAAUAACACUACGUAGGCCUCUGUGUAUACAUACGCGAAAAAAUGUACGCGUGAAUCGCGCUAUUCAUUCGUAUUUGUUAUUUAUGCGAGUUUAUAUUAUUAUAUUGUAACUCGACAAAAUCACAAUAGACAAGUGCUCUACAGACUCUCGUCUUAAGGACGAGAAAUCCUUGUUGAAGCAACUCGAGGAUUUCGAACAGGUAUAGACCGACUUGAAGGAUUUCAAAGUCACUGGGAGCACGGCGUGUCAAAACUUUCGAUGAAAUCAGAGCACUUAGGAUAAUAUACACAUGAUAUGUAUAUAUUCAAUUAUUGUCAUGAAUUAAUGAGUAUAAGGACUCAAGUAAACGGAGUUCACUGGCUGUGGCACAUUCAAGUUUUCCAAAACCGAAUUAAACCGAUUACCGAAAAAGCUAAUCUACAUUGUAAACGAUUACAGUUUUAAACCCUGACAAAUUACAAACACUACUUCCUCAAAUACUCUGCAGGUGAUUAAUGAUUACCUACUGACUACUGGGUCAUGUAGUGCUCUGUACUAUACUGCUGUUUGCUGAUGUACCUAUGUUCCAAUCAAAAUAAAUAUUACUCAAAAUCUGAGAGAAA